GAUUCUGUAAAUCAGCAUGAGAAAAAGUAUGGCAUGAGCUAAGGCAAGGCAUAAACCUCUGCACUUGAAAGUGAGGAAAGCUAAGAAGAAAAAUAAUGAAUUACGUACGUGAGAUCUUUGAGGAUUCUCGACUCAAUUAUGAAGAUUGCAGAGCCUUCCCAGUACCAUCUGCCACAGUUCACAUCUUGAGUAUCUCCCAAAGGCCCAUAUGUUAGAAGCUUGUGUCCCCAGCUUGGUGCUAUUGUGAUUUGAUUCUAAUAGAUGAGGUCAGAGUCUUUAAGUCACUGGGGGCUUGCCCCGAAGAGGAUCGUCUCUUCUUGCUCCUGUCUUUUAGGUUGUAAUCAUAAGGUCAGUAGGUUUUGUUCUGUCAUGUGUUUCCACAAUAAAGUGCUGCCUUGCCAAGGCCUGACGUGAUGAGUU